rnacentral:rRNA from 1 species
CCCUCCCUCUUUCUUCAUGCCUAACACAUGCAAGUCGAACGAGACCUUCGGGUCUAGUGGCGCAAGGGUGCGUAACGCGUGGGAACCUGCCCUUAGGUUCGGAAUAACUCCCCGAAAGGGGUGCUAAUACCGGAUAAUGUCUUCGGACCAAAGAUUUAUCGCCUAUGGAUGGGCCCGCGUUGGAUUAGCUAGGUGGUAGGGUAAAAGCCUACCAAGGCGACGAUCCAUAGCUGGUCUGAGAGGAUGAUCAGCCACACUGGGACUGAGACACGGCCCAGACUCCUACGGGAGGCAGCAGUGGGGAAUAUUGGACGAUGGGCGAGAGACUGAUCCAGCAAUGCCGCGUGAGUGAUGAAGGCCUUAGGGUUGUAAAGCUCUUUUACCCGGGAUGAGAAUGACAGUACCGGGAGAAUAAGCGCCGGCUAACUCCGUG